rnacentral:hammerhead_ribozyme from 1 species
AUCGAACUGACGAGUCCCAAAUAGGACGAAACGCGCGUCCUGGAU